GAGCGUAUAGCUCAGUGGUAGAGCACAUGCUUAGCAAGUACAAGGUCCUGGGUUCAAUCCCCAACACCUCCA
rnacentral:tRNA from 1 species